UUCCUGUUGGCUCAGACAGUAAAAGCAUCUGCCUAAAAAGCGGGAGACCCAGGUUUGAUCCCUGGGUUGGGAA
rnacentral:tRNA from 1 species